UACCUCUUACUGGGCCCCUGUGAAUCUGC
rnacentral:piRNA from 1 species